rnacentral:rRNA from 1 species
GACGAGCCACACGAACGUUAUUCGGAAUUACUGGGCUUAAAGGGUGCGUAGGCGGCGCGAAAAGUUGGGUGUGAAAUACCUCGGCUCAACCGAGGAACUGCGCCCAAAACUAUCGUGCUCGAGGAAGAUAGAGGUGAGCGGAACUUACGGUGGAGCGGUGAAAUGCGUUGAUAUCGUAAGGAACACCCGUGGCGAAAGCGGCUCACUGGGUCUUAUCUGACGCUGAUGCACGAAAGCUAGGGGAGCAAACGGG